ensembl:lncRNA
GUAAAAUCCAAAAGUUUUCUUAGAAUGGAAAACAGGAAAGUCAUCGCAUCUGACAAAGCUACAGUUAUCAUCCAAGUAAAUCCACAGGUGGCACAAGAUACUGUUAUUUGUGAUGAUGGACAGCAGGCCAGAGUAGCAUAUCACAAUACGGCUCUUAAAAGAUUUUUCAAAGGACAACCAAAGGCACUGGGGAUUGUACAGAUAAUGGUUGGAGUGAUGGUCUUCAUACUUGGUAUUGUGCUCUCCGUAAGUUUAGUCAGAUUUCCUAGCAUUUCUGUCUUUAGUGGCAUCACCUACUGGGGAUCUUUCAUUUACAUCAGUACUGGCUCUCUGUCUGUUGCUGCACAGAAUAAACUUCAUCCGUGUGUGGUAUGUACAUAUAAUGUGCUGAAAUAAGUGGGUGAGAACUCUUGUCACUUCUUGAUCCUUAUUUGUACAUCACUACAUUUCUCAACUAACUGGUGUGCAAUUUAAAUCACCACAAGCUGUCAACAAAUGAGCAGCAGUGCAGAAAUAAUCAUCUGUUAGCAUUAAAACUAUGUAUCUUUAGAUUGGUAAAAGAUUAUCUGAUCAAGAUUUGCAUCAGAUACACAACUGACCUUGCCGAACACAUAUUCAAUAGUUAUAAGCACAAAGCCCUUUCAAUCAUCUGUUCUUUAAGUAAAGACUGUAUGCAGUCAGAUACAAUGGGGCUAUAGGGUAAGUGACCACUUUUUUUUUUUAUCCUUAAGCACAAAAAUAGCAACAAACACCACCACAGUAUUUUUCUAUAUCUACUUUUUUUGUUGCUGAUUUAAUAUAGCUGCAUUUAUAUUUAAUUGAUUUUAAACAAAAACUAUUUAUUUUCGCACAAAUUAUGUUGCUCAUAUGUUCAUGAAAAAAAAGAUCACCAAAUAUUUUGGGAAUAAAAAAAAAAAAAAAUACCUAAG